AUAUCUAUCUAUAUAUAUUUAUUUAUAUAUAUAUAUAUAUAGUGUAGAGGUGGUCUGCACUGGGGAGGCCCUGUGCAUAACUUUUAUUAACAUUUUCUCAACACAAUUCCAAAGGGCCUGGAAUUUCAGCUGCCAUCACACUAGAGUGAUUUCUUGUUGCCUUUACAUGUGUGUGUGUGUGUGUGUGUGUGUGUGUGUGUUCCAUUGAAAGUGCUCUAGGAUUAUGUUAAGGAGAAUCUCUUUGAUUUACUCAUUAUCAGGAUGGAUGGAGCCAUUUACUUUUAUUACAUGUGUGUGUGUCUGUGCAUAUGUGUGUGUGUGUGUGUGUGUGUUUGUGUGUGUGUGUGUUUCUUUGUUAACUUUUCAUUUCAUGUUUAGUAGAAAUUUAACGAAGCUGUAACACUAAUUAAUCCUUUUAUUCCUCUUUCUCUCACUCACUCACCCACUCCUCCCGAGAAGGGAGUGCUCCAGCAUGGCCUUGGCUCUGAUGACUAAAAUCAAUACUAAUCAACUCAUCAAUAACCCUUUGUACUUUUAUCACUGUUUUCUAUUUAAAAAAUAAAAAUUAACCAAAAAAAAAGCCAAAAAAAAAAAGCAAAACAAAAAUCGACCCUUGGUGUUGUUCUUCUGUCAGAUAAAUGGAUUCCCUUCACAAUAAUUCUUCACUGUUUCGGUUUUUUAUUAAAUUUUUUUUUUUUUUUUUAAUAUUGAUUGAUUAUUUCAUUUUGUAUUGGAAAUCAAAUUCGCAUUUGUUUCUUAUUAUUUGUUUAUAUAUAUAUAUAUAUAUAUAUUUAUAUAUAUUCCUUUAUCCAGUUUGUUUACUUCACUUCUCUCUCUCUCUCUCCACCCUAAUUCAUUCUCCCAGUUUCACUACUGAAAUAAACUACUGUGAUACUUUAUGCAUGAAGCACUGGCUUUCUUUGGCUAAUCCUUUCUUUUUUUCCCAUCCUCUCUCUUCAACCUUCAACUUUCUAUACAAACCCUUCUAUAAUCAUGUCGUCAUCCUAUCAGCUACAUUCAUGGCAAUGUUGGUCAUGUGAUCGCAUCACAUGACUGCAUGUCUGCUAAUUAAAGUUUUGAUUUCAACAAUUA